GCCGGAGUGGGGGAACGGCAGACCCGGGGGACUUAAAAUCCCCUGCUCGUAAGGGCGUGCGGGUUCGAAUCCCGCCUCCGGCACCA
rnacentral:tRNA from 1 species